GUGCCAGCCGCCGCGGUAAUACGAGGGAUGCAAGCGUUAUCCGGAAUUAUUGGGCGUAAAGCGUCCGCAGGUGGCUUUGUAAGUCUGUCGUUAAAGCGUGGAGCUCAACUCCAUAUCGGCGAUGGAAACUACAAGACUAGAGUUUGGUAGGGGUCACGGGAAUUCCUAGUGUAGCGGUGAAAUGCGUAGAUAUUAGGAAGAACACCAGCGGCGAAAGCGCGUGACUGGGCCAAUACUGACACUCAUGGACGAAAGCUAGGGGAGCGAAAGGGAUUAGAUACCCCUGUAGUCCUAGCCGUAAACGAUGAUAACUAGGUGUUGCUCGUAUCGACCCGAGCAGUGCCGUAGCCAACGCGUUAAGUUAUCCGCCUGGGGAGUACGCACGCAAGUGUGAAACUCAAAGGAAUUGACGGGGGCCCGCACAAGCGGUGGAGUAUGUGGUUUAAUUCGAUGCAACGCGAAGAACCUUACCAAGGCUUGACAUGUCGCGAAUUCCCUUGAAAGGGGGAAGUGCCUUCGGGAACGCGAACACAGGUGGUGCAUGGCUGUCGUCAGCUCGUGUCGUGAGAUGUUGGGUUAAGUCCCGCAACGAGCGCAACCCUCGUUUUUAGUUGCCAUCAUUUAGUUGGGCACUCUAGAGAGACUGCCGGUGACAAACCGGAGGAAGGUGGGGAUGACGUCAAGUCAGCAUGCCCCUUACGUCUUGGGCUACACACGUACUACAAUGCUACGGACAAAGGGCUGCCAACUCGCGAGAGUGCGCUAAUCCCAUAAACCGUGGCUCAGUUCAGAUCGUAGYCUGCAACUCGCCUACGUGAAGGCGGAAUCGCUAGUAAUCGCAGGUCAGCAUACUGCGGUGAAUACGUUCCCGGGCCUUGUACACACCGCCCGUCACACCAUGGAAGUCGGCCACGCCCGAAGCCGUUACCCUAACCGUAAGGAGGGGGGCGUCUAAGGCAGGGCUAAUGACUGGGGUGAAGUCGUAACAAGGUAACC
rnacentral:rRNA from 1 species